rnacentral:rRNA from 1 species
UACGGGGGGGGCAAGCGUUGUUCGGAAUUACUGGGCGUAAAGGGCUCGUAGGUGGCCAACUAAGUCAGACGUGAAAUCCCUCAGCUUAACUGGGGAACUGCGUCUGAUACUGGAUGGCUUGAGUUUGGGAGAGGGACGCGGAAUUCCAGGUGUAGCGGUGAAAUGCGUAGAUAUCUGGAGGAACACCGGUGGCGAAGGCGGCGUCCUGGACCAACACUGACACUGAUGAGCGAAAGCCAGGGGAGCGAACGGG